rnacentral:rRNA from 1 species
UACGUAGGGUGCGAGCGUUAAUCGGAAUUACUGGGCGUAAAGCGUGCGCAGGCGGUGAUGUAAGACCGAUGUGAAAUCCCCGGGCUUAACCUGGGAACUGCAUUGGUGACUGCAUUGCUGGAGUAUGGCAGAGGGGGGCGGAAUUCCACGUGUAGCAGUGAAAUGCGUAGAGAUGUGGAGGAACACCGAUGGCGAAGGCAGCCCCCUGGGCCAAUACUGACGCUCAUGCACGAAAGCGUGGGGAGCAAACAGG